UACGUAGGUGGCAAGCGUUGUCCGGAAUUAUUGGGCGUAAAGCGCGCGCAGGCGGCCUUUUAAGUCUGAUGUGAAAGCCCACGGCUCAACCGUGGAGGGUCAUUGGAAACUGGGGGGCUUGAGUGCAGAAGAGGAGAGCGGAAUUCCACGUGUAGCGGUGAAAUGCGUAGAGAUGUGGAGGAACACCAGUGGCGAAGGCGGCUCUCUGGACAGUUCCUGACGCUGAGGCACGAAGGCCAGGGGAGCAAACGGG
rnacentral:rRNA from 1 species